CCUACGGGGGGCUGCAGUGAGGAAUAUUGGUCAAUGGGCGGGAGACUGAACCAGCCAAGCCGCGUGAGGGAGGAAGGUACAGAGUAUCGUAAACCUCUUUUGUCAGGGAACAAAGACUGGGACGCGUCCCCGGAUGAGUGUACCUGAAGAAAAAGCAUCGGCUAACUCUGUGCCAGCAGCCGCGGUAAUACGGAGGAUGCGAGCGUUAUCCGGAUUUGUUGGGUUUAAAGGGUGCGCAGGCGGUCUGUUAAGUCAGCGGUCAAAGCCCGGGGCUCAACCCCGGCCCGCCGUUGAAACUGGCAGUCUAGAGUUGGAGAGAAGUAUGCGGAAUGCGCGGUGUAGCGGUGAAAUGCAUAGAUAUCGGGCAGAACACCGAUGGCGAAGGCAGCAUGCCGGCUCCACACUGACGCUGAGGCACGAAAGCGUGGGUAUCGAACAGGAUUAGAUACCCCUGUAGUC
rnacentral:rRNA from 1 species